GACGAACGCUGGCGGCGUGCUUAACACAUGCAAGUCGAACGGAAAGGCCCUGCUUUUGUGGCUUGCUCGAGUGGCGAGCGGGUGAGUAACACGUGAGUAACCUGCCCUUGACUUUGGGAUAACUUCAGGAAACUGGGGCUCUUACCGGAUAGGAGCUCCUGCUUCACUGUGUGGGUUGGUAAGUUUCGGCGGUUGGGGAUGGACUCGCGGCUUAUCAGCUUGUUGGUGUGGUAGUGGCUUACCAAGGCUUUGACGGGUAGCCCGCAUGAGAGGGUUACCGGCGACAUUGGGACUAAGAUAGGGCCCAGACGGGAACGGGAGGCAGCAGUGGGGAAUAUUGCGCAACGGGCGCAAGCGAGAGGCGGCAGCGCCGGGUGCGGGAUAACGGCUUUCGGGUGGUAAACAGCUUUGUCAUGAGACGAACCGGGAGUGACGGUAAUGGGUAAGGAAGCACCGGCUAACUACGUG
rnacentral:rRNA from 1 species